GGAACAGAGAGAGAGUAGAACAGGAUGAGACAGGGAGGAACAGAGAGAGUAGAACAGGAUGAGACAGGGAGGAACGGAGAGAGUAGAACAGGAUGAGACAGGGAGGAACAGAGAGAGUAGAACAGGAUGAGACAGGGAGGAACAGAGAGAGAGAGUAGAACAGGAUUAGACAGGGAGGAACAGAGAGAGUAGAACAGGAUGAGACAGGGAGGAACAGAGAGAGAGAGUAGAACAGGAUGAGACAGGGAGGAACAGAGAGAGUAGAACAGGAUGAGACAGGGAGGAACAGAGAGAGAGUAGAACAGGAUGAGACAGGAAGGAACAGAGAGAGAGUAGAACUGGAUGAGACAGGAAGGAACAGAGAGAGAGAGAGAGUAGAACAGGAUGAGACAGGGAGGAACAGAGAGAGAGUAGAACAGGAUUAGACAGGGAGGAACAGAGAGAGUAGAAUAGGAUGAGACAGGGAGGAACAGAGAGAGAGUAGAACAGGAUGUGACAGGGAGGAACAGAGAGAGAGAGUAGAACAGGAUGAGACAGGGAGGAACAGAGAGAGAGUAGAACAGGGAGGAACAGAGAGAGUAGAACAGGAUGAGACAGGGAGGAACAGAGAGAGAGAGUAGAACAGGAUUAGACAGGGAGGAACAGAGAGAGUAGAACAGGAUGAGACAGGGAGGAACAGAGAGAGUAGAACAGGAUGAGACAGGGAGGAACAGAGAGAGAGUAGAACAGGAUGAGACAGGGAGGAACAGAGAGAGUAGAACAGGAUGAGACAGGGAGGAACAGAGAGAGAGUAGAACAGGAUGAGACAGGGAGGAACAGAGAGAGAGAAGAGAACAGGAUGAGACAGGGAGGA
rnacentral:lncRNA from 1 species